GAUAAACGCUGGCGGUGUGCCUAAUGCAUGCAAGUCGAACGGUCCUUCGGGACAGUGGCGAACGGGUGAGUAACACGUAAGCAACCUGCCCCUAAGUGGGGGAUAACUUCGGGAAACUGGAGCUAAUACCGCAGUGGUGGCCCUUCAACAGAAGGGUCAUUAAAGCCUUCGGGCGCUUGGGGAGGGGCUUGCGUCUGAUUAGCUUGUUGGUGAGGUAACGGCCCACCAAGGCAAUGAUCGGUAGCUGGUCUGAGAGGAUGAUCAGCCACACUGGGACUGAGACACGGCCCAGACUCCUACGGGAGGCAGCAGCAAGGAAUAUUGUGCAAUGGGCGAAAGCCUGACACAGCGACACCGCGUGGGGGAAGAAGGUCUUCGGAUUGUAAACCCCUUUUCUCAGGGAAGAAUAAUGACGGUACCUGGGGAAUAAGUCUCGGCUAACUACGUGCCAGCAGCCGCGGUAAUACGUAGGAGGCAAGCGUUAUCCGGAUUUAUUGGGCGUAAAGCGCGUGUAGGCGGCUUUUCAAGUCGGAUGUAAAAUCUCCCGGCUCAACUGGGAGGGCCCAUUCGAUACUGUUGGGCUAGAGUGCAGCAGAGGGAGGUGGAAUUCCCGGUGUAGUGGUGAAAUGCGUAGGUAUCGGGAGGAACACCAGUGGCGAAGGCGGCCUCCUGGGCUGCAACUGACGCUGAGACGCUAAAGCGUGGGGAGCGAACAGGAUUAGAUACCCUGGUAGUCCACGCCGUAAACGAUGGACACUAGGUAUGGGGAGUAUCGACCCUCUCCGUGCCGUAGCUAACGCAUUAAGUGUCCCGCCUGGGGAGACGGCCGCAAGGCU
rnacentral:rRNA from 1 species